rnacentral:rRNA from 1 species
AUGGUUUGCUGGAAUGUGAGAGGGCUCAACAGUCCAGCAAAGAAGGAUGCGCUUAGGGAGCUAGCUGACUCGAUGAAAGUAGCUAUAUGGUGUAUUUUAGAGACUAAGCUCGUGCAUGUAGACACAUACAUUAUCAUGCGGUGCUUAGGGCCGGCUUAUGAUGGUUUUGCGUAUCUUCCUUCGUCUGAUACUCGUGGGGGCAUU